UACGGAGGAUGCAAGCGUUAUCCGGAUUUAUUGGGUUUAAAGGGUGCGCAGGUGGUUUAAUAAGUCAGUGGUGAAAGUCUGCCGCUUAACGGUAGGAUUGCCAUUGAUACUGUUGGACUUGAAUAUGGAUGAGGUAGGCGGAAUGUGUAGUGUAGCGGUGAAAUGCUUAGAUAUUACACAGAACACCGAUUGCGAAGGCAGCUUACUAAUCCAUGAUUGACGCUGAGGCACGAAAGCGUGGGGAUCAAACAGGAUUAGA
rnacentral:rRNA from 1 species